rnacentral:rRNA from 1 species
AUGGAGCCCUUAGAGAGGGAUUAUACUUCUACAAAUGCUUCAAUGGUUGACAACGUCUUCAACAUUGCGCUGCGAUACAAUGACACUGUUGGGACUGUCAAGGUGGAUGGGAAGAAGUACAAAUUGAAGCAAUUGCAUUGGCACUCCCCCUCAGAACAUACCAUCAAUGGCCAAAGAUUUGCGGUAGAGCUCCACAUGGUUCACUCCACCGAUGAUGGUGACAUUACUGUUGUGUCAAUCCUUUAUCGUUACGGAAAACCAGAUCCUUUCCUUCACCAGAUAAAGGAUAAGUUGGCUGAAUUGUCUGCGGAGGGCUGCAAAGCUGAGAAAGGUGAUCCUCUCCCCGUUGGGGUGGUGAAUAUGAGGGAACUAAUGCAGGGUGCACAUAGGUAUUUCAGAUAUGUUGGAUCUCUCACCGCACCACCAUGCACAGAGAAUGUGAUCUGGAACAUUCUAGGCGAGAUAAAAGAAAUGACAAAGGAGCAGGCUGCUACUUUGAUGGCACCUUUGAAGGGGAGUUACAAGCACAACUACAGGCCGCUACAAUCACUGAAUGGCCGCGCCGUACAGCUCUAUGACAGGUCACGCAAUGUUCAAAAUGUUCUUUAG